ACGAACGCUGGCGGCGUGCUUAACACAUGCAAGUCGAACGGAAAGGCCCUGCUUUUGUGGGGUGCUCGAGUGGCGAACGGGGGAGUAACACGUGAGUAACCUGCCCUUGACUUUGGGAUAACUUCAGGAAACUGGGGCUAAUACCGGAUAGGAGCUCCUGCUGCAUGGGGGGGGUUGGAAAGUUUCGGCGGUUGGGGAUGGACUCGCGGCUUAUCAGCUUGGUGGUGGGGUAGUGGCUUACCAAGGCUUUGACGGGUAGCCGGCCUGAGAGGGUGACCGGCCACAUUGGGACUGAGAUACGGCCCAGACUCCUACGGGAGGCAGCAGUGGGGAAUAUUGCACAAUGGGCGGAAGCCUGAUGCAGCAACGCCGCGUGCGGGAUGACGGCCUUCGGGUUGUAAACCGCUUUCGCCUGUGACGAAGCGUGAGUGACGGUAAUGGGUAAAGAAGCACCGGCUAACUACGUG
rnacentral:rRNA from 1 species